CGCGGGUAUGUUGGUGAUGAAGAACCCGGAAGCAACAAGUACUGCUCCAUCUUUUCACCUUCCUCCAUCUUGUCCCUUCUCCCUCACCUAAACAUUGAGAAAUCCUCCUGAGAAGAUUCAGCUUUGCUUUGCCUUCGUCUUCCACCGUGACUUUGGAGCCUCAGAAUGCGGCUGCUUCUCGUCAGUCAUCUUGGCCCUGCCCCCCACUUAUCUUCUUUUUAUGGAGGCU